rnacentral:sRNA from 1 species
UGACGUACAAUUCGAACUGUGUGACU